UUCAUUUUGGUGGAAGCUAGAAUUUGAGAAGUUCAAAAGUUAAAAGGAAGAGUCUGGUUGCUGUAAAGUAUGGGUUUAACUUGUUGCUUUCUUUUCUUUCUUUCUUUCUAUUUUUUUUUCAUUUCCUUACACUGUCCUUAUUGGCCUCUGGCACCAUGAGAGAGCUAUCCACACAGGCAGUGCCAGUAUUUUUAUACUGACUUUAAAAACAUCCUGAACUGUUUACACUGAAGAAACCAGAACCUCUCUCAAAUGCAGCACUGCUGGGGCAGAUGUAUUAUUCUUCCAGACAACUGAAUAUAGAAAAGAAUGCAAAAUGCACUGAAAAAGCAGAACCUGUCAGUCACUCCCAGCAGCUGUCAGCAUCGGAAAGGAUGGAUGCAGAAGUCAAACACGGCCACCUUCAUCCAGCCACUUCUGCGCCUGGCUUAGAGGUAACUCCUCGACAGCAGCAAGAUCCCUCGAACUGGCCAUGGGCUCAUCGGUAUUGGGCGUCGCGCACGUUCCCGUGUAGAGUUGGUGACCGUGUCUGGGGAUGGCGAUGUGCUGGAGUGAACGGCAUGGGGAUGACACCCUGUUUUCGGGAAGAAACAAAGACAUUUGAAACAUUUGCACAACAUAGAAGCUCUCCAGCCCAAGUCUUGAAAGGGCUAAAGGUUUGCCGGGGAAGCUUUGUGGAGAGGGAGUAAUAAAGAGGGUUUUACGAUGCAAGGUCAGAUGGGAAAGUUUUAUUGAAGGGGCUUGGCGAGCUUCUAGUCCCAUGGGGGAAAGGAGGAGGGAUUUGAAUGUAGUGGUUUUUUCCCUUUUGGAAGGUCAAAGCCAUUCCAGACAAUUGCAAAGCAUUAUCAGAGAAAUAUGCUUAUUCUUCUGUUGCGGCUGUCAAAAAUGGAGGAGGGGAGGAAGUCCAAAACACUACAUUUUACCAAAGCCCUGAAGGCAAAAAUGAUCUGCUGGCUUGAAAUUUAUCUUAAUGAGCAAAAUCCAGCCAAUGGAACAUGGUGCAGUUGAAAGUGACAGAUGGGAUCAUUUAAAGUUUGAUUAUUUGCAUGAAAUAAAAUAAUAUUUUUGAUAAGUUAUUUUUCUUCUGGUUGUUACAGUGUUCUGCAUAGUGUCACAGCCUCUCACUGGCAGUCCCAAAUCUCUGACAGAUUAAUUUAUCCAGAUUCUCUCAAAUUCAGACUUAAAGGGAAAUCCUGGAACUCCUCAGCUCAUGUAAACCCAUGGAACUGGUCCAACAGCUGGUGGCGAGUGAAAGUAGACUCCACGGCCAAGAGAUUUUUGCUAGGUAGGGACUACAAGCAAAGACAUAACAGAAUUUAUAACCCAAUGUGUGCUUCAAUCUUUUAGUUAAGGGAGAGCAGAUUGCACCCAAAAAUGUGUCAAGGCGCCGAUCGGCUGGGGAAAACUAUUUUGGUGAAAGACUUUUGGGGCAGGGUGAGUAAUCCUGGUUGGACAGUCUCGGGGAGAACCUGUCCUGCAUCAGGGUUCCCCUGCAGGGAUGGUGGCAGUAGACUCUGCUUUGGGAGCUCCAUCUCUGAGGCUAGACCCUGAGUCUGAAUCUGUCCAGGAUCAGACCUCUGAAAAUAAGAGCAGUCAUCAAUCAGGCAGGUCGGAAGAGUGUCUAGAAAUGUAUCAAUUUGUUCCUGAGUAUUUUCAGGCACAAACAACUGCAAGAAUUUACCACUGCUAUAUAAAAAUAUCACUUGGGACCUAGGCAGGUCCAUAAAAGCUCUGUGCAAUUGGAGGAUGCAUUUCCUUGUAAGAGACCUGCUGAAUUUUGAUGCUGAGAAGUG